UGGCUUUUAGUACCUUUGCACUCGCAUCAUGAUGCAUUGCUUGGUAUACAAAACAGUGACUGUGCUUUCUGUAGGGGUUUGGGAGGGUAUUUGAGUUACCUUCUUUGGUAGCAACAAGGUAUUGGAGGUGAGGUAGUGCCACAUCAGGAUAACUCAUUUCUUUAUACUGAACCACAAACUUGCACAUGUAUGUGGCUGACCUUGGAAGAUGCAACAGUAGUAAAUGGCUGCCUUUGGGCUAUUCCUGGCUCUCAAAAGGAUGGCCUUGUUAGAUGGUUUAUUAGAGGUGAAGAUGGUGUGACCUUUGAUCGGCCUUCCCCUGCGUAUGAUCAAAAGAUUUUGUGCCUAUUGAAGUCAAAGCUGGGUCUUUAAUUAUUAUUCAUGGUGAUCUUAUUCAUCAAAGUUUUGAGAACCAGUCUUUGAAGUCAAGGCCUGCGUAAAGCUUGCAUGUGGUGGAUACAGAUGGCUGCAAAUGGGCUCUAGAUAAUUGGUAAAUUUUACAUCGAUAAUUUCUAAGCUUUACAUCUUGUUUCAGGAGUGACUUGUACAAUAUAUAUUUUCUGGUUUCUCUAGCUUUGAAGUAUGAAUCCAAACUAUGAACUUUUGUGAAUCAGAGAAAUUGCCGAGUGUACCAGUAUCGAAUGUGUUAAGAAUAAGUGAAGGGUAGUUAUUGUGA